AAACGCUGAGAGAGAAGGCUUCAGUAAAGGCUUAAGGAAUUAACAACCUCAUGUUAAAAGGCUAAGGAGGUAAGGAUUAUUGCCACCAUCACUGUCAGUCAUCAUCACUGUCAUCACCAUCAUCAUCUCCAUUUUACAUCUGAGGAAAGUGAACCACAAAAGGGUCCAUAGAAGCCAGACCACUCUCUUGAGGUAGGGGAUGAGGACUUCUCUGCGGGAAAUGCAUCAUUCCUCUCAAUCAUCCCAUGAGGUUAGUCCUGAGCCAGAAAGCAGAAUCAGAAGACAGGGAAAAGGCAAGCCUGGUUCCUCUCCGUAGAGCUAAAACCAACGGGACAAAGACUCUGAGCUCCAGAGAGGCAUGGAAUGCAUCAGUUACAGAUGUAAGCACAUGAUCCACUUGGCCAAUCAAGGUUCUUCAUCCCUCCAUUCACAGUGAGGGAUCCACAGGAUGGGCAAAUAACUCAAACAAGAGUGGAAAUCCUCUGUUACAUUUAAUAAAAGAACAGUGAGAUCAAUAGCGUCUGCCAUGAACUGCAGUAACUAUGAAAGCCUGGAGUUGCCAUGGCAUGAAAGAAGCUGACAAUGAAGCCAACACAGAGAAAAGUGGAGUCAAGCUACAGAGUGAGGAGCAGUUUCUAGUAACAUCCUGUGAGCCCCUGGACAUAGUCUGAAGGACAACUCAAUGCUCGACUUUUCAGUUAAAUGAGCCAAUUAGUGUUAUGCAUAUAAAGAAAGUAUAUAUAUGUACAUAUAUAUAUGCAUGUCUAUACCCUUAUUUUUAAAACAAAUGAGAGCAUACUCUGUACACUGUUCUGCCCAUCGACUUUCUCACUUAAUAUAUCUUUUAGAAUUAGCACAUAUAGAUCUACUUUAUUAGAGCAUAUACAUCUAUUUUAUUCUUUAAUGGUUGCAUAAAAUUUCAUUGUGUAAACAUUACACACUAUAUUGCACCAGUUCCUUGUUGAUCAGCAUUUAGAUUAUGUACAAUUAUUUGCUACAUCAAACUACAAAAAUGACUAUGCUUAGAUAUAUGUCUUUGUACUGUAUACAAGUAUAUCUCUAGGCUUUUAGGAAGCAACUGACACAUUGAUUCUAGAAUUUAUAUGGAAAUUUGAAGGACCUAGAACAGUCAAAACAAUUUUGAAGAACAACUGUGGAUUAUUCACAUUAUCUGAUUUCAAGACUUCCUAUAAAGUUACAGUAAUCAAGACUGUACUGUAAGAAUGAAUACAUGAAUGUAACAUAAUAUAGGGUUCAGAAAUAAACCUGUACAUUUAGUGUUAAUUGAUUUUCAACCAAGAUACCCAAAUAUCAAUGGAGAAAGGAAAGUUUAAGAUAGAUUGAGCUGAAACAACCAGAAAAAAACUGAAAACUUGAGCCUCGAUCUCCACCUCACAUCAUACACAAAAAUUAGUUAGCAAUAUGCGAUAAACCUAAAUGUGUAAGUUAAAACUGUAACUAUUCCAGAAGAAAAUUUAGAACAUCUUUACAACCUUAAGCAAAAGUUUUAAGUAGAUGUGUGAAUGGCCAAUAAGCACAUGUAAAGGUGCUCAGCAGAGAAAUGCUUUAAAACUGCAAUUAGAUACUACUUCACACAUAGGAGAAUAGCUGAAAAAAAAAAAAAA
ensembl:lncRNA